UACGUAGGGGGCAAGCGUUGUCCGGAAUUAUUGGGCGUAAAGAGCGCGUAGGCGGUCCGAUAAGUCGGCUGUGAAAGUCAGGGGCUCAACCCUUGGAAGCCGGCCGAUACUGUCGGACUAGAGUCCGGAAGAGGCGAGUGGAAUUCCCGGUGUAGCGGUGAAAUGCGCAGAUAUCAGGAGGAACACCAAUGGCGAAGGCAGCUCGCUGGAACGGUACUGACGCUGAGGCGCGAAAGCGUGGGGAGCGAACAGG
rnacentral:rRNA from 1 species